CCUACGGGUGACAGCAGUGGGGAAUAUUGCACAAUGGGGGAAACCCUGAUGCAGCGACGCCGCGUGAGUGAAGAAGUAUUUCGUUAUGUAAAGCUCUAUCAGCAGGGAAGAAAAUGACGGUACCUGAGUAAGAAGCCCCCGCUAACUACGUGCCAGCAGCCGCGGGAAUACGGAGGGGGCAAGCGUUAACCGGAUUUACUGGGUGUAAAGGGAGCGUAGACGGCAGUGUAAGGCUGGAGUGAAAAGCCGGGGCUCAACCCCCGGACUGCACUGGAAACUGUACGGCUGGAGUGCCGGAGGGGUAAGCGGAAUUCCUAGUGUAGCGGUGAAAUGCGUAGAUAUUAGGAGGAACACCAGUGGCGAAGGCGGCUUACUGGACUGUAACUGACGUUGAGGCUCGAAAGCGUGGGGAGCAAACAGGAUUAGAUACCCCUGUAGUC
rnacentral:rRNA from 1 species